rnacentral:rRNA from 1 species
UACGGAGAGUGCAAGCGUUAAUCGGAAUUACUGGGCGUAAAGCGUGCGUAGGCGGUUGGCUAAGUCAGAUGUGAAAGCCCUGGGCUCAACCUGGGAAUGGCAUUUGAAACUGGCCGGCUAGAGUGUGAUAGAGGAUGGCGGAAUUCCCGGUGUAGCGGUGAAAUGCGUAGAGAUCGGGAGGAACAUCCGUGGCGAAGGCGGCCAUCUGGAUCAACACUGACGCUGAGGCACGAAAGCGUGGGGAGCAAACAGG